CACAAAGUUUUUCCCAUUAUGGAUAUUUCAGGUGUUUAUUGCUUAAGAAAAUAGAAAACCCUGGGAGACACCAGGAAUGGGAAAAAAUUUUACCUUUUAAGAGGGUGAAACUUUCAGUCAUUGCCAGUGAGAGGCGGUGGGAGGGCAGGGAUUGAUUCAGGCCUUCAAAAAAGGAGAUGAAAAAUCCUCCUGCUGCCCCAAACAUCUCCAGGGAGGGGAAAAUGAAGCUCUGAAAUGUUCUUCCCAUCCCACAGGAAUCUCCAUCCCGGGAAAUGGAAAUUCUUUCCCUACCCAAAGCGUCCUGGAGCUUCCCCAAACACCCGAGAGGGGCUGGAGUGAGGGGUGGGGAUCCCUCCCCAAGGUGGGGACCCCUCCCCAGGCACCUCCGGGGGACACAGGGAUGGAUUUCCCAUCUCUCAGCAUUCCCUGGAUGCUGCUGCCCUGGCGGGGUUUGUCCCUGGAGUUUGUCCCCCGCGUGUCCCCGCAGUGACACCAGGAGCCACCGUCCCUCUCCUUCCUCUUUAUUCCUCCGUUCCCCGAGCGCCGCUCAGCAAAAACAGAAACUUCCCCAAAUUAAACCCGCAGGAGCGGCCUCGGACGCGACACAAGGCGGGGGACAGGACCCAGCACCCCCCGGGGACCCCGCGGGGACAUCCCAGGUCCUGGCAGGGGGAAGGACACGGGUCCUGGCAGGGGGAAGGACACAGGUCCUGGCAGGGGGAAGGACACGGGUCCUGGCAGCGGGA